rnacentral:rRNA from 1 species
CCCUUAGAUGUUCUGGGCCGCACGCGCGCUACAAUGGCAAACUCAGCGAGUCUCCUUUACCGACAGGUAUAGGAAAUCUUUUCAGUGUUUGCCGUGAUGGGGCUAGACCCUUGUAAUUAUUGGUCUCCAACGUGGAAUUCCUAGUAAACGCAGGUCAUUAACCUGCAUUGAUUACGUCCCUGCCCUUUGUACACACCGCCCGUCGCACCUACCGAUUGAAUGGUCCGGUGAAGUCUCCGGACUGAGUACUUUUAGUACUUGGGAAGUUGACUAAACCUUACUAUUUAGAGGAAGGUGAAGUCGUAACA